rnacentral:tRNA from 1 species
GCAGUUGUGGUGUAGUGGUUAUCACGUCAGUUUUACACACUGAAGGUCCCCAGUUCGAAAAUGGGCUAUCGCA